UACGUAGGGUGCAAGCGUUGUCCGGAAUUAUUGGGCGUAAAGAGCUCGUAGGCGGUUUGUCGCGUCGGCUGUGAAAACCCGGGGCUCAACCCCGGGCCUGCAGUCGAUACGGGCAAGACUAGAGUGCGGUAGGGGAGACUGGAAUUCCUGGUGUAGCGGUGAAAUGCGCAGAUAUCAGGAGGAACACCGGUGGCGAAGGCGGGUCUCUGGGCCGUAACUGACGCUGAGGAGCGAAAGCGUGGGGAGCGAACAGG
rnacentral:rRNA from 1 species